UCUUAGUCAUCCAGGUCAUGAUUGUUUCAAAGGUGCUUUUUCAAGAGGCAUCUGGACUUUCUUGUUUUCCUUUAAAGACUUUGAAAGAAAUGUUACAAAUUCAAGGAUGAGCUAGAGAACAAGUGUUCUGCUUCCUGCAGAAAGAGGCAAAGCAAAUACAGGUGUUUUCUAUAGUUGCAUGUACAGAGAGAAGUGCAGAGAUGCUGUUGUCCCUCAAGAGAUAAUGUUCAUAAAUAAAUCUUUAAAAAAAAGUGUUCUAAUGGAAAUGCUGAUAGUUUUCUUUGCUUGUUCAUAGAGUUUUCCUCACUCUGAUAUAGGCACAUAUACAAAUUAGUCAGAAUGACUUAAAAGAUUAAAAAAGACUUGCUCUUUGAAUAUUACCUAAUAACGACGGUUUGCAAAACCAUAAUUCAUACUUUAAAAAGCUCAGUGACUAAGUCCAAAUCAAGCAAAUUGUAUUAUAUCUUAUUGUGUAGCCUAUGGCAAUAUACUAAAUCCCAGUGAAACUCAUUUUGGUUUUGUAUAUCUUGUAGGUGUGCCUUUGAGUCAGUCUUGAUGACUCCCUGGACAAAUCCCUGCAGUUUUCAUGGCAAGGUUUUAAAAAAUGGUCACACUUGGCCAAUCAAGAAUUCUAUCCUGUUAUGUUCUGCUCCGUUCCAUUCCUAUUUCUUUGGAGCACAUGAAUGUAGCACCCCAGGACUGGUGGCAGUGAAGUACAAAGCAUAUUUCAUAGUCUCCUACUUGAUGAUUUGCUUCCCAUAACUGGAAAUUGCAGAUAGCUGCCACCUGUUUCUUCAGGCCUGUUUUCAAACUACCAUCAGCUACUCUUGUGGAAGCAGUCCUGAAUGCAGAAAAUGUGGCAGGCUGGAAGGCCCAAUGCAAAAGAUGGCUUGAUACAUUAACAAAGCAUCAAGGGAAGUCAUUGUCUUCUUUCUUCUGGAUAAUUUAGACCAAAUCUAAAAUAUACCUGUUGUGUCCUCGGAGAUACGACCGGCGCCUGUCAAGAAAUGCAGAGAAAAUCCGGAUUGACUGUGACGCGCUGUCGGGCUGGCGGAAGAAGUGCAGCUUUUCUAUUGGUUCCCCGUCUGACAGCCUCCGUAUAAAUAGCUGUCAGAUGGGAGUGUGUUGUUGUCCUGUUACUGAUUGAAUUAAGGUUAAUAAAUAGUUUUGCUUCAA